AGGAUGAACGCUGGCGGCGUGCCUAAUACAUGCAAGUCGAGCGGUAAGGCCUCUUCGGAGGUACACGAGCGGCGGACGGCUGAGUAACACGUAGGAACGUACCCCAAAGUGAGGGAUAAGCUCUGGAAACAGAGUCUAAUACCGCAUGUGGUCCAAGGAUUAAAGCUUCGGCGCUUUGGGAACGGCCUGCGUCCGAUUAGCUUGUUGGUGAGGUAAAAGCUUACCAAGGCGACGAUCGGUAGCUGGUCUGAGAGGAUGAUCAGCCAGACUGGGACUGAGACACGGCCCAGACUCCUACGGGAGGCAGCAGUAGGGAAUUUUCCACAAUGGGCGAAAGCCUGAUGGAGCAACGCCGCGUGCAGGAUGAAUGCCUUAGGGUUGUAAACUGCUUUUAUAUGUGACGAUUAUGACUGUAGCAUAUGAAUAAGGAUCGGCUAACUCCGUGCCAGCAGCCGACGUAA
rnacentral:rRNA from 1 species